GCCAGGUAUGGUGAUGCAUACCUGUAGUCUCAACUGUUCAGGAGGCUGAGAUGGGAGGAUCCUCUGAGCCCAGGAGGUUGAGGCUGCAGUGAGCCAUGAUCACACCACUGCACUCCAACUUGGGCUACAGAGGGAGACCCCAUCUAGUCCCAACUACUCAGGAGGCUGAGACGGGAGGAUCCCCUGAGCCCAGGAGGUUGAGGCUGCAGUGAGCCAUGAUCACAUCACUGCACUCCAACUUGGGCUACAGAGGGAGACCCCAUCUAGU
ensembl:misc_RNA Metazoa_SRP Metazoan signal recognition particle RNA